UCCGGCUUAACGCCGGCAGUCUCCUUAGAGUGCCCAACUGAAUGGUGGCAACUAAGGACGAGGGUUGCGCUCGUUGCGGGACUUAACCCAACAUCUCACGACACGAGCUGACGACAGCCAUGCACCACCUGUGCACUUGCCCCGAAGGGCUGCCGUGUUUCCACGACAUUCAGGUGCAUGUCAAGCCUUGGUAAGGUUCUUCGCGUUGCGUCGAAUUAAACCACAUGCUCCGCUGCUUGUGCGGGUCCCCGUCAAUUCCUUUGAGUUUUAGCCUUGCGGCCGUACUCCCCAGGCGGGGCACUUAAUGCGUUAGCUCCGGCACCGACGGACUCACACCCGCCGACACCUAGUGCCCAUCGUUUACGGCGUGGACUAC
rnacentral:misc_RNA from 1 species